rnacentral:rRNA from 1 species
GUUGUAGGUGAGGUAACGGCUUACCUAGCCUAUGAUGCGUAGUUGAUUUGGGAGAUAGGUCAGCCACAUCGGGACUGAGACAAGGUCCGAGCUCCUACGGGGGGCAGCAGUGAAGAAUCUUGGGCAAUGGGCUACCGCCUGACCCAGUGAGAACACAUGCAUGAUGAAUGCGCACAGUUUUCUGUAAAGUGCUAUUCGCGGGAUCAAGAAAACGACACAAGCCCGAGAUGAAGCGCCGGCCAACUCCGUGCCAGCAGCCGCGGUA